GAUGAACGCUGGCGGCGUGCUUAACACAUGCAAGUCGAACGGUGAAGGCGGAGCUUGCUCUGCUGGAUCAGUGGCGAACGGGUGAGUAACACGUAAGCAAUCUGCCCCUGACUCUGGGAUAAGCGCUGGAAACGGCGUCUAAUACUGGAUACGAGCUGCGAAGGCAUCUUCAGCAGCUGGAAAGGACUUUGGUCAGGGAUGGGCGCGCGGCCUAUCAGCUUGUUGGUGAGGUAGCGGCAGACCAAGGCGUCGACGGGUAGCCGGCCUGAGAGGGGCACCGGCGACACUGGGACUGAGGGACGGCCCAGACGGGUACGGUAGGCAGCGGUGGGGAAUAUUGCACAGUGGGCGAGAGCCUAAUGCAGCGGCGCCGGGUGAGGGAAGACGUCUUUCGGGUUGUAAACCGCUUUUAGCUGGGAAGAAGCGAUAGUGACGGUACCUGCAGAAAAAGCGCCGGCUAACUACGUG
rnacentral:rRNA from 1 species